rnacentral:rRNA from 1 species
CAAGGGUUAUCCGGAAUUUUUGGGCGUAAAGAGCUCGUAGGCGGUUUGUCGCGUCUGCCGUGAAAGUCCGGGGCUCACUCCGGAUCUGCGGUGGGUACGGGCAGACUAGAGUGAUGUAGGGGAGACUGGAAUUCCUGGUGUAGCGGUGAAAUGCGCAGAUAUCAGGAGGAACACCGAUGGCGAAGGCAGGUCUCUGGGCAUUAACUGACGCUGAGGAGCGAAAGCAUGGGGAGCGAACAGGAUUAGAUACCCUGGUAGUCCAUGCCGUAAACGUUGGGCACUAGGUGUGGGGGACAUUCCACGUUUUCCGCGCCGUAGCUAACGCAUUAAGUGCCCCCCUGGGGAGUACGGCCGCAAGGCUAAAACUCAAAGGAAUUGACGGGGGCCCGCACAAGCGGCGGAGCAUGCGGAUUAAUUCGAUGCAACGCGAAGAACCUUACCAAGGCUUGACAUGAACCGGUAAUACCUGGAGACAGGUGCCCCGCUUGCGGUCGGUUUAGAGUGGUGCAUGGUUGUCGUCAGCU